rnacentral:piRNA from 1 species
UACAUUGGUGCAGACAUUAGGUACACAGUCA